rfam:Loxodonta africana unplaced genomic scaffold scaffold_71, whole genome shotgun sequence.
AAGUGAAUUGAUGAGAAAUCUUACAAUGAAGAUUAAUGUUCAUCUCAAAAUACUGCUUUUACAAAAGCAGAAUAAAAAUUGAAGCGAAAUGAAAAUGA